UACGUAGGGUGCAAGCGUUACUCGGAAUUACUGGGCGUAAAGCGUGCGCAGGCGGUCUUUUAAGUCAGAUGUGAAAUCCCCGGGCUUAACCUGGGAACUGCGUUUGAAACUGGAAGGCUAGAGUGUGGCAGAGGGGGGUGGAAUUCCACGCGUAGCAGUGAAAUGCGUAGAUAUGUGGAGGAACACCGAUGGCGAAGGCAGCCCCCUGGGCUAACACUGACGCUCAUGCACGAAAGCGUGGGGAGCAAACAGG
rnacentral:rRNA from 1 species